GCUCUGGUAGUGCAGUGGUCAGCACGCCCUCACCAAAAACAUUAAAAAUUAUAAAAUCGAAGGGAAACCUGGGUUCAACUCCCAGCCAGAGCA
rnacentral:tRNA from 1 species